UACGUAGGGUGCGAGCGUUAAUCGGAAUUACUGGGCGUAAAGUGUGCGCAGGCGGCCGAGCAAGUCGAGUGUGAAAGCCCCGAGCUUAACUUGGGAAUGGCAUUUGGGACUGCAAGGCUUGAGUGCGGCAGAGGAGACUGGAAUUCCUGGUGUAGCAGUGAAAUGCGUAGAUAUCAGGAGGAAUACCGAUGGCGAAGGCAGGUCUCUGGGCUGACACUGACGCUCAUGCACGAAAGCGUGGGGAGCAAACAGG
rnacentral:rRNA from 1 species